ensembl:ncRNA C56E10.5 ncRNA
ACCAAAACAGAAUUUAUAAGCCUCAACAAACAGAUGGUUUGAUUUCUGCUCUCAGCUAUAUGCUAAUCGAAAACGAAAAGGAAGAAAUGUUUGUAAUUGAAGUUGAUUUUUGUUAAGAAAACGACUAAACAACGGGAAAACGAAACAUG